rnacentral:misc_RNA from 1 species
CCGAGUUAUACAACUCAUCAACCCUGUGAACAUACCUAUAACGUUGCCUCGGCGGGAACAGACGGCCCCGUAACACGGGCCGCCCCCGCCAGAGGACCCCCUAACUCUGUUUCUAUAAUGUCUCUUCUGAGUAAACAAGCAAAUAAAUUA